rnacentral:misc_RNA from 1 species
CGCACAUUGCGCCCCUUGGUAUUCCGGGGGGCAUGCCUGUUCGAGCGUCAUUACAACCCUCAAGCUCUGCUUGGUAUUGGGAUAUCGCCCCCUGGGGCGUUCCCGAAAAGUAGCGGCGAAGCAACCGAACCCUCUGGCGCAGUGACGAUUUAACUCUCGCUACGAGUCGUGUUCGGGGGCCUCGGCCGGACAACCCCCUAAAUUUUCUAAAGGUUGACCUCGGAUCAGGCAGGGAUACCCGCUGAACUUAA